UUGACCAAAACUUAGGCAUGGCAUGCAACUUGUAACUUUCCUUAAGAAAAUACAAGUAGUUGAUUCGUGCAAUCCAUGAGACUUUUUUUUUUUCGUCAGGUAAUUUUACAUGUUUAUAUGUAAAAAUUUCUGCAUGGUAUUGUUGAUAGUUGUAACUUGUGAGUCUUGUGAUGUGACUCUACUUGAUUUCUAGUUGAUGUACUUUAAUAAAUCUUAAGCCACUUGUUUUAUGUUUUACCUUACAUGUCUUAGUCAUUACACGUGAACUUACUACUUUCAUAUGUAAAAUGAAAAAGAUAAUAUUUAUAUUCUAUCAUAAUUUCAAAAAAUGCAGAAUAACAUUAAUUAUAUCAAACACCAAAGUUGUUCAAAGUUAUGAGAAAAUCAUAAAUACACAUACAUGCAUUUAUAAUGAACAUGUGAACACAUUCGCAUAUAAUUCCUUAUUCUUUUUAAUUUAUGCAGUUACAAAUUAGUAAAUUACUAAAAGGAUUAUUUAUUGAAAAUGUAAUGACCAAAGACUAAAUUUUAAGUAGUAAAAAGGUGCUUUGUUACGUGUAUAUAGAUUCGAUUGCUUGUGUUGCUAGAGUGUGUCUUGACUUGAACAUAUAUUUUUAUAGAAUUAAGGUAAUUUCAAAAGUAUGGUUCAGUCACUGAAAGAUGAAUCAAGCAUGAUCUAUACUUGUUUAUACAAGUCCCAUUUGUUUUUACCUUGUUAUAUAUCAUUUCUUGAUAUUGGCAAUGAAAUAGUAGCUCGUCUUAAAUUAUGUCUUGGAUUUGUUAAUUUUUAACUCUUACUGGAUUCCUUUCCUAGGCUAGCUAUGACCCUCCGGACUCUGAUGACGAUUAUUCUGAGGACUGAUGAUGAUUAUUCUGAGGACUCUGAUGACGAGUUGAUUGAUCUCAACAAAGUUCGACAAAUCUGGUGAUGCCCUUUCAUCUAUGUCUUCGGAUUUGAUUCAUGACAACAAAUGAGAUCCAAUGGAUGGUGCUGCACGGGUUAUAUAUUCUUGGGUUAUAGGAUUGAAAGAACAAGUUAUUUCGAAUUAUUCAGUGGGGACAAUAGUUUGUUUUUGAAUCGCAGAUUUCUAGUGUGCUAUAAUGGUGACAAUUGAUAAUCAUGAUAUUCGGUUUGUGCCAGUACUUCAAUCUCCAGUUGUAGCAUGUUCUAACUUUUGACUCCUCCUCUGCUUUGCAUUCGGGUAUUGUUUCUUAAAACUUUAUGUAGUGUAAAUUGUGGGAUUAUUCAUUGAGUUUUUUUCACGAUGUUUUCAUUGUUUCC